GGCCCAGACUCCUACGGGAGGCAGCAGUGAGGAAUAUUGGUCAAUGGGCGCGAGCCUGAACCAGCCAAGUCGCGUGAGGGAAGACGGUCCUAUGGCUUGUAAACCUCUUUUGUCGGGGAGCAAAGAGGCCACGUGUGGUCAAAAGCGAGAGUACCCGAAGAAAAAGCAUCGGCUAACUCCGUGCCAGCAGCCGCGGUAAUACGGAGGAUGCGAGCGUUAUCCGGAUUUAUUGGGUUUAAAGGGUGCGUAGGCGGGACGGUAAGUCAGCGGUAAAAAUGGGGAGCUCAACGCCGUCGGGCCGUUGAAACUGCCGUUCUUGAGUGAGCGAGAAGUAUGCGGAAUGCGUGGUGUAGCGGUGAAAUGCAUAGAUAUCACGCAGAACUCCGAUUGCGAAGGCAGCAUACCGGCGCUCAACUGACGCUGAAGCACGAAGGCGUGGGUAUCGAACAGGAUUAGAUACCCCGGUAC
rnacentral:rRNA from 1 species